GACGAACGCUGGCGGCGUGCCUAAUACAUGCAAGUCGAGCGAAGUUUUUCUGGUGCUUGCACUAGAAAAACUUAGCGGCGAACGGGUGAGUAACACGUAAAGAACCUGCCUCAUAGACUGGGACAACUAUUGGAAACGAUAGCUAAUACCGGAUAACAGUAUUUCUCGCAUGAGAGAUAUUUAAAAGUUGGUUAUGCUAACACUAUGAGAUGGCUUUGCGGUGCAUUAGCUAGUUGGUGGGGUAAAGGCCCACCAAGGCGACGAUGCAUAGCCGACCUGAGAGGGUGAUCGGCCACACUGAGACUGAGACACGGCCCAGACUCCUACGGGAGGCAGCAGUAGGGAAUCUUCCGUAAUGGGCGAAAGCCUGACGGAGCAACGCCGCGUGAGUGAAGAAGGAUUUCGGUUCGUAAAGCUCUGUUGUUAGGGAAGAAUGGAUAUGUAGUAACUAUACAUGUAAGAGACGGUACCUAACCAGAAAGCCACGGCUAACUACGUG
rnacentral:rRNA from 1 species